GUUGGAGGGGGUCUUGAUGGCCUGUGACCUUGCCUUUAUCUGUCGGUCUGUCACCACUGGUCUUCAAAGUGCAGCUUAAAGGAUCUGAGGCUUCUGUGUGGCCUUGAUGUGAUCUGCUUUCCUGGUUGCAAUCCUGAGCCCUGGUGCCCAUUGGUGGCUUAUUUUUGUCACAAGAGAAGGUGAUGGCUAUAUCAUCAUAUCAACUGCAAGCCUUGAAAUGCAUCUGAGCCUGAGGACCCUCCAAGACACAUGGGUGUCUGUUCAGCAGGGC